rnacentral:lncRNA from 1 species
CGUGUUUCAUUCAAGCAUAAAUUGUUGGCUUAAAUGGAUCAGCAUCCUGUUUUAUAAUGAAAAAUCAUGUUAAGCCGAGUCAUAUUUAAAAUGGCACAAGACUAGUUGGGCCAAAUUACAAUUGAGAUCCGUGGACGUUCUAUCUGUACACUUUAAAUGAAUUGAUUGUGUAUUUUUAACCGCUCGAGCUUUUGAAAUUAAUGAUUAGCGCCAACGAUCCGACAUAAAUUAAAUAAGUUUGUUGGCCACACAUCG